rnacentral:rRNA from 1 species
UACGUAGGUGGCAAGCGUUGUCCGGAAUUAUUGGGCGUAAAGCGCGCGCAGGCGGUCCUUUAAGUCUGAUGUGAAAGCCCACGGCUCAACCGUGGAGGGUCAUUGGAAACUGGGGGACUUGAGUACAGAAGAGAAGAGUGGAAUUCCACGUGUAGCGGUGAAAUACGUAGAGAUGUGGAGGAACACCAGUGGCGAAGGCGACUCUUUGGUCUGUAACUGACGCUGAGGCGCGAAAGCGUGGGGAGCAAACAGG